UGUUCAUCCCUUCCCAGGGGUCAAGGACCAGGACUCUGGAGGCACGCCGCCUGGGCUCAAAUCCCCGCUUCCCCACUUACUCAGGCUGCACACCAUAAUCACCAGAGGACAGACACCUGGCUCCUGUGGACCCUGGAAUCAGAAUUGCUGCAAAUAGAUAUUUUGGAAGGGGUACUCCAGGAAUCCUGCUAGACCUGGUUAGAACUCUGCCCAGGGACCAAGCCAGCUGAAUCGAUGGUUUCCUUUCUGGAAAUUUAAGUAUUUUGACAGUACAGAAGAGGGGUGCAUCUGGAGAUUUCUGGACCCAGUUGUAACCAGACUUGCCCGUCCUGGGCAAAUUGAUUGCUUCCGGUUCCAUCACUUCUGUACAGUGACUGACUUCUGGAGCUUAACUCCCCGACAGCCAGGAGGAAGGAGGC